CUAUGCGCCUUGCCAGCCGCUCAGGUGUGUCAGCCGCCGCGGUAAUACAGAGGUCUCAAGCGUUGUUCGGAAUCACUGGGCGUAAAGCGUGCGUAGGCGGUUUCGUAAGUCGUGUGUGAAAGGCGGGGGCUCAACCCCCGGACUGCACAUGAUACUGCGAGACUAGAGUAAUGGAGGGGGAACCGGAAUUCUCGGUGUAGCAGUGAAAUGCGUAGAUAUCGAGAGGAACACUCGUGGCGAAGGCGGGUUCCUGGACAUUAACUGACGCUGAGGCACGAAGGCCAGGGGAGCGAAAGGG
rnacentral:rRNA from 1 species